rnacentral:rRNA from 1 species
GACGAACGCUGGCGGCACGCCUAACACAUGCAAGUCGAGCGGAGAAAUUAAGAUGAACCCUUCGGGGUGAUUCUUAAUCUUCUUAGCGGCGGACGGGUGAGUAACGCGUGGGAAACCUGCCCUAUACAGGAGGAUAGCCUCGGGAAACCGGGAUUAAUACUCCAUAACACUAAUCUUUCGCAUGAAAGAUUAGUCAAAACUCCGGUGGUAUAGGAUGGUCCCGCGUCCCAUUAGCUAGUUGGUGAGGUAACUGCUCACCAAGGCAACGAUGGGUAGCCGGCCUGAGAGGGUGAUCGGCCACACUGGAACUGAGACACGGUCCAGACUCCUACGGGAGGCAGCAGUGGGGAAUAUUGCACAAUGGGGGAAACCCUGAUGCAGCGAUGCCGCGUGAGCGAUG